rnacentral:tRNA from 1 species
UCCCUUGUAGCUCAGUUGGUAAAGAAUCUGCCUGCAAUGCAGGAGAUCCAGGUUUGAUUCCUGGGUCGGGAU